rnacentral:rRNA from 1 species
GACGAACGCUGGCGGCGUGCUUAACACAUGCAAGUCGAACGGAAAGGCCUCUUUCGGGGGGUACUCGAGUGGCGAACGGGUGAGUAACACGUGAGUAACCUGCCCUUGACUUUGGGAUAACUUCAGGAAACUGGGGCUAAUACCGGAUAGGAGCUCCUGCUGCAUGGUGGGGGUUGGAAAGUUUCGGCGGUUGGGGAUGGACUCGCGGCUUAUCAGCUUGUUGGUGGGGGAGUGGCUUACCAAGGCUUUGACGGGUAGCCGGCCUGAGGGGGUGACCGGCCACAUUGGGACUGAGAUGCGGCCCAGACUCCUACGGGAGGCAGCAGUGGGGAAUAUUGCACAAUGGGUGGAAGCCUGAUGCAGCAACGCCGUGUGCGGGAUGACGGCCUUCGGGUUGUAAACCGCUUUCGCUCAUGACGAAGCUUUGUGUGACGGUAGUGGGUAAAGAAGCACCGGCUAACUACGUG